ensembl:lncRNA
CCAGAACAGGCAAAGUUUUCACUUCCGUUCUCAGAACGUAACUUAUGGUUAUGUUCCCAGAACCAAUGGGAAAUCCAAAACUUAUGUUCCCACAACUACCAAGGAACCAAAUGUGCUAGCUGGGUAGAAGCCUAGAAACCAAAUAAACAUUAUCUGGGAAGAGGAGUGGCAGCAGAGAAACGAAACUUGGACAGACUGCUGAAAACAAAACUGAAGGGAAAGAAGAAACGUUGUGUGGCACAGAGCCACAGCCCGAUCACGCCCACACACACAAUGCAGGCUGAGGGUGUUAGCUGCUUUCCUGUGGCUCUCAGCAUUGCAAUGACAGAUGAGGAGGAGGGGAGUGUUUUUUCAAGGUAUAAAAGGGGGUUACAAUGUUUGAUCUGUCCUUUUUAUCCUGCGGAGCCCUCCGCUUAAGGAUUUGGGUGAGUUUCCUUUCCAUCGAGAUUUAAGAGCUUGUAUAGAGACUGAUUUGUUUUACGUGCUUUGUCAUUCCGUUUGUAUACAUUUCAACCUCAUCAAACCCAAAUAUUGUGUUUGUUUUGUUGUAAAUUUACAGUUACAGGAAUAGGUUACUGUUUUUUCAAAUGUCUAUAGUACAAGAUAACUUUGACAAGACUAUAAUACAUGGUAAGAGCAUUUGUUAAACAUCAAUGCUGUACCAGGGGGAUGUAUCACUGUCGCCUGCGUCACUCACAUCAAUUUGUGCAUCCUUCCUUGUGUUGCAGGACUGGUGACCCUCUGUCAGGUCACUAUGGAGUUCCCACUCUGUCUGCUUGCUGUGUAUUUUCUUUGAAGAGGAGGAGAGGAGGAGGAGGAAAGGAGAUGAAAAGCCUGCUCCCAAGGGCAGGUCACUGGGUCCCUGGCCAUGUCCUGGUAGGGGGUGUUGGGAGUCUGUCCCCUAGCAGGUUCUGACCCUCAGCAUGACCUCGCAGGACCCAGUCAGUCGGGCCUGGUGAGCAGAGCCAGGAGCUGCAGAUCAGCUGAUCCGCAGCGACCUUGACGCACCGACGAACCCAAGCACCAGACACCUGAAGACACCUGAGACGACUAGAUGAAGCUCAUCCGAAGCACAAAGCUUAUAUUACUUACCUGAAUACUUAAACGAAAUGUACCCUAGAAUGCCGCCAGAUGAAGAACCAUUCUUUUCUUUUUUUGGUUGGCUUCUGGUUGUCUGCGUUGCUUGGUUUCGGCGGGUCAUGGGGGGCCUGCUGAAGAAAACGCAUUCCCAAAUACACUACAAUGCUGAACGCAUAAUUUCCAUGAAAAUUUAAAAUUUUAAAUAAAAAUUUAAAAAAACAUUGCAACAUGAACAACCUUAUCUGUGCCGUUUGUUCUGUAGUUGUCAUUUUGGGUAUUUAUACACUGAUAUUGAUGCCACAUUGCAGAGAACAGCUGUUUUAACAUCGCAAAUAAUACUUACAGUUGGUAGUGUAGUGCAAGUAAAUAAUAUCCAAGCCACUUGAAACAUCUUUAAACUCAUACAUACUGACAAUUUAAUAUCCGUCUCAGAGCAUUAUUUUGUUUGACUUUUUUCUACUUCGUUUUAUGUAGGCC